AUGGGUUUAGUAUAAUAUAAUAUAUUAGGUUUAGGUCCUAGAGAUUGAGUGCCCAUU
rnacentral:tRNA from 1 species